UACGAAGGGGGCUAGCGUUGCUCGGAAUCACUGGGCGUAAAGGGUGCGUAGGCGGUUUGGUAAGUCUGAUGUGAAAUCUAUGGGCUCAACUCAUAGUCUGCAUCGGAAACUGCCGGGCUUUGAGUGUGGGAGAGGUGAGUGGAAUUCCUGGUGUAGCGGUGAAAUGCGUAGAUAUCAGGAGGAACACCUGUGGCGAAAGCGGCUCACUGGACCAUAACUGACGCUGAUGCACGAAAGCUAGGGGGAGCAAACAGG
rnacentral:rRNA from 1 species